GCAUCGAUGAAGAACGCAGCCAGUUGCGAUAAGUAGUGUGAAUUGCAGAAUUCAGUGAAUCAUCGAAUCUUUGAACGCAAAUUGCGCUUUCUGGAUAUCCAGGGAGCAUGCCUGUCUGAGCGUCGUUUAAUAAUCUACACACCUUGGUGUGGGUAGGGAGUUCAUGUAACCGGCUCGCUGGAUACCUGUCUCUCGAUGUGUCUGAACCUUGCUCGUACUUGCUUAUGUACUUGCUUGGAAGGCUCAACUUGCUUCUGUCCUUCUAAAGCUCUGUACUUGCUCGUGUACUGCUCGUGUUCUUCGAGACUCUUCACAGAGUUUCAGCAUCCUUUUUGACCUCAGAUCAGACAAGACUACCCGCUGAAUUUAAGCAUAUCAAUAAGCGGAGGA
rnacentral:rRNA from 1 species